AGCGAACGCUGUCGGCAGGCCUAACACAUCAAAUUCGAACGAACCUUUCUGGGGUUGUGGCGGACGAGUGUGUAACACCAGGGAACGUGUCUUUAGGAUCGGAAUAACUUAGGGAGACUAGUGCUAUUACCGACUGUGCCCCUCGGGGUAAGGAUUAAUCGCCUUUAGAGCGGCACGCGCCUGAUUUGCUAGUUGGUUCAGGUAAUGGCUUAACAAGGAGACUACCAGUAGCUGGCAUGAGAGGAUAAUCAGCCACAUUGAGACUGAGACACGGCCCGAACUGAUACGGGAGGGAGCAGUGGGGACACUUGCGCCAUGCGCGAAAGCGUGAGGCAGCCGUGCCGAGUGAAUGAUGAAGGUCGUAGGAUGGUAAAAUUCUUUUACCGGGCACGAUAACGACGGUACCCGGAGAAGAAGCCCCGGCUAACUUCGU
rnacentral:rRNA from 1 species